GUCUAAAUAGCUCAGUUGGGAGAGCGUUAGACUAUAAAUCGAGAAGUUCCUGGCUCGAUCCCGUGUUUCGAGU
rnacentral:tRNA from 1 species